AUGGCGCUCGCACGCCGUCGGCCAGCCACCCUCCCAGUCUUUCUCACCGCAUUCCUCUACGCCGCAGCCUUCCUCGCUGGCCCGACCACGGCCAUGGGAAAGACGGGCAACGUCUUCGUGUUCUGGGGCCGGAACAAGGACGAGGGCUCCCUCCGGGAGACCUGCGACACCGGAAGGUACACGUUCACCACUGUAAUCAUCUCCUUCCUCGACGUCUUCGGCAACGGCAGGUACCACCUCGACCUCUCCGGCCACGACGUCUCCGCCGUCGGCGCCGACAUCAAGCACUGCCAGUCCACGGGCAAGCUCAUCUUCCUCUCCAUCGGGGGCUUCGGCGGCCAGUACUCCCUACCGACCCGCAGGUCGGCGGCGGACGUGGCCGACUACCUCUGGAACGCCUACAUGCUCGGAACCCGCAAGGGCGUCAGCCGCCCGUUCGGCGACGCCUACGUCGACGGCAUCAACUUCUUCAUCGACGGUGCCGCCGGCGCGCGGCCGGAAAACUACGACGAGCUGGCCAGGCGGCUCUGGGACUACAACAAGGCGUACCGCGGCAGAACGCCGGUGCAGCUGUCCGCAACGCCGCGGUGCGGGUACCCGGACAGGCGCGUGGAGCGGGCGCUCGCCACGGGGCUGUUCAACCGCAUCUUCGUCAGGUUCUACGAUGAACCCCGCUGCGCCGCCCACUUGGAGCAGGAGUGGGACAGAUGGGCGGCGGCGCAACCGCACGCGCAGAUCUACCUCGGCCUGCCGGCUUCGGAGCGGAAGGUCGGCUACGUGCACCCCAAGAACCUCCACGCUGUUAUGCCGGUGGUGCAGAAGGCGGCCAACUACGGCGGGGUCGUGAUCUGGGAGCGCUACGAGGACAAGCGGACCGGCUACAGCACCUACGCCAUCCAAUGGGCUUGA
rnacentral:rRNA from 1 species